rnacentral:rRNA from 1 species
AUUGAACGCUGGCGGCAGGCAUAACACAUGCAAGUCGAGCGAGCGGCGGACGGGUGAGUACUGUAUGGGGACUGCCCGAUAGAGGGGGCUAACUACUGGAAACGGUGGCUAAUACCGCAUACUAUCGGAUAACCCAUAUGGGAUUAGCUAGUAGGUGGGGGAACGGCUCACCUAGGCGACGAUGUCUAGCUGGUCUGAGAGGAUGAUUAGCCACACGGGGAGAGAGAAACGGCCCAGACUCCGACGGAGGCAGCAGUGGGGAAUAUGGCACAAUGGAGGCAAGCCUGAUGCAGCCAUACGGCGUGUAUGAAGAAGGCGUGAGGGUUGUAAAAUACUUUCAGCGGGGAGGCGUUACCCGCAGAAGAAGCACCGGCAAAAUCCGUGCCAGCAGCCGCGGUAAUAC